rnacentral:rRNA from 1 species
CCUACGGGUGGCAGCAGUGAGGAAUAUUGGUCAAUGGGCGGAAGCCUGAACCAGCCAAGUAGCGUGCGGGAUGAAGGCCCUACGGGUCGUAAACCGCUUUUGCACGGGGACAACACCCGUCACUUGUGGAGGUCUGCAGGUACCGCGCGAAUAAGGGCCGGCAAAUUCCGUGCCAGCAGCCGCGGUAAUACGGAAGGCCCGAGCGUUAUCCGGAUUCAUUGGGCUUAAAGGGAGCGUAGGCGGGCGUUCAAGUCAGCUGUAAAAUCGCGCGGCUCAACCGCGCCCCGCCGUUGAAACUGGACGGCUUGAGUGCACGACAGGCAGGCGGAAUUCGUGGUGUAGCGGUGAAAUGCAUAGAUAUCACGAGGAACCCCGAUUGCGAAGGCAGCCUGCCGGGGUGCGACUGACGCUGAGGCUCGAAGGUGCGGGGAUCGAACAGGAGUAGAUACCCGAGUAGUC